CCUUUAGCCGUCAAAGCUUGCCAGACAUCCCUGUGUGUACACAAGGAGAAACCGGAGUAGGAGGCGAGCCGUGAGCAAACAAGGCCAAUCUGUAUUUGAUAACAGGCAUCGCUUAGAAACAACUGCUAGGGCUCAGUCGUCUACAAACACAGUGAUUGCUCCAUAUUAAAGCCAUUGCUGCCAGACAGAGCUGGCAUUGAAUCCAUGUGGAGCCUCCGUGUGGGAGGAUGCACACCAGCUCUAUAUUGGACACAGGGGAGGAAAAGAGACAAGGUCUUACUAUGUAGUCUGGAACUCACUAUGUGAACAAAGCUAAGUUUGAACUCCCAGAACACUGCCUGCCUGCCUGCCUGCCCCUCCCGCCUGCCCGCUGGGUUUUAAAUCAGAGGAGGUGCCACCCUGGGAGCACACCCUUUCCUUGGGUUGCUGUUUGAGACUGGGACCCAGGUUCUAACCCUUCGCCAGAGCCAAUCUCCUAGCUUCUUCUCCUAGGGCCUGGCAGUGCAGUGCUGAGCUGGACACAUGGCCGGCAUGAGACUCCACUCUGCUUGUCAGCAAUGCAGUUUCCCUGUGAGAGCAUUUCCCAAGGUCUUUCACAUCCAUUAUCACUGCAAACCCAUGUUGUUGGCAGCCCUGUUGUUUUGUUCCCUCUUAUGAACAAGCAGGACACAGCCACUCAAGGUCAACAGCUAAGUUGGUGGCUGAUGCAACCCUCUGUCACGCCUCUGUGCUUUUGAAUGAGCUGUUUCUGACUCCAGGAUGUCAGCCUUCCUCCACCGGGCAGGUUCCUUCUGGACCUACACUACCUCUCCUCCUUCCUCCUCGGACUGAGUAUCAAGCCAGCUCAGCGAUUGGCCUCCUCGUGAAGCUUCCCUCUAGUCCCUCUUGGCUCCUGUUCCCUGAAAGGAGUUGCCUGCAGCACACUAUGGAACUAUAGCAGGAGGUCGUGAACUACUCGAAUUAACUCCCUGGAGUUAUCUCUUGCCGGGAAGGAAGGACUCGGGCAGGGUUUUCAGAGGGAAGUCUGGGAAUUUCUGUUGAUGUAUGUGAAUACAUUAUUUUGCUAAGCAAUGCCACGAGGCGGAGGCUAGAAGAUCAGGAGUUCAAAGCCAGCCUGAGCUACAUGAGACCUUGUCCGGAACAAUCCUACAGCUGACAUCAUACUUAAUGGCAAAAAGUGGCUGCCUAUUCCCCAAGAUUAGCGGCAAAGGUGUGAGCUCCAACUCUUCUCCGUCGCUGUAUGAGUGGCCCCAGACUGCGCAAUAAGAGACUGAGCUCAGCCCUGGAUGGCACGUCUCUACUUAACUCCGCCACCACUGGACCUGGGAAGAGGAGGAUGGAGAGGUGGAAUGCUGUUUUCUGGAUGUGAUGUGAGCACUGCAGUCAGCUCACGGCAUCUGAGGUGACCCAUCUGCACAGUAUCAGACUAGCCAACGUCCCGGCACAGACAGCGGAGAUGACCUGCGAGCCCCACUCUUUCUUUCCUGAGGAGCUAUUGACCGAGGAAAUCACCUUUGGAAUAACGUCAAGUUUGAGAGGCUUACACUUGUGUUCCAUACUAUGCUGAAUGGUGUGGAAAACUCCGUGGUCACGCAAAGGAGUGGCUGGCACCUCUGUGUCCACAGACUGGCCAGUGGGUAGGUACUGUCCAGAAAAGGUCUCCUCUCUUCCUCCUGCUUUCGUCUUGGCUUUAGCUUCCGAGAGGCUGCAGGGCACGAGGCUCUGUGACCAAAGAGCCACCUGUGCCUCUGUUUCCCCACCUGCUGUGGCAGGGGGCCAGGCUAAUUGAACUGAUACUUCAGAGUGAGGAUUAAUAAUGACUGAGGUAGGGGGUGGAGCAAUGCCUCAGCCGUUAAGAGCAAUUGUUGCUCUUGCUGAGAACCGGUUCAGGUCCCAGUACCUACAUCCAGUGGCUCGGAACUGUCAGUUCCAGAGAAUCUUAAAUCCUCAUCUGGCCUUAACAGGCACAUGCAAGCGUGCGCUCUCUCUCUCUCUCUCUCUCUCUCUCUCUCUCUCUCUCUCUCUCUCCCCCCUCUCUCUCUUGCACACGGGUGCAAAUAAAUCUUUUUUUUUUUUUUGGUUCUUUUUUUCAGAGCUGGGGACCGAACCCAGGGCCUUGCGCUUCCUAGGCAAGCGCUCUACCACUGAGCUAAAUCCCCAACCCCGCAAAUAAAUCUUUUAUAAAAAGGAACUUUUGUUUCAAACACAAGAGACUAGGUUGGGCUGUAAAGAAAGAUGUUAAGGGUGUUCUAAUCUUAAAAGAAAGGACUGACUGGGCACGGUGGUACAUGUCUUUAAUCCUAGCACUCAGGAGGCAGAGGCAGGCAGAUCUCUGAGUUCAAGGCCAGUCUGGUCUACAGAGCAAGUUUUAGGACAGCCAGGUGUGUGUGUGUGUGUGUGUGAGAGAGAGAGACAGAAAGACAGAGAGAGAGAAAGAGAGACAGAGACAGAGAGAGACAUAGAGAGAAAGAGACAGGGAGAGACAGAGACAGACAGAGAGACAGAGACAGAGACACAGAGACAGUCAUGGGCCAAGGGUGUUAUAAGCACAAUGCUUAGGUCAGGGGGAACAGCUCAGGGAGAGUGUAUGACAGCAGAAGCCUAGAUGUGCUUUCCAGGUUGGAAUGAUUUUCCAGAAGUCGGAUAGCAGGUAUGCCUGGCUCUGGCAGCACUGCAUUUCCAGAUAUAAAGUUUCGAGUGGUCACAUGCAGGGAUUAACAAGCACCCUUUAAGCAGCUUUGUGGUAAGUAAAGGUCAGGUUGCGCUGCCAGAUGAGGUCUUGCCAGGUGACCUUCUGAUGCCAACAGGGUUAAUCUCGCCUUUGUGACUUUGGGGGCUUUACAACUGCAGAUGAAGGACUUUGUGUCUGCUUCACUUCAUCUGACAGCCAGACACCAACUGCGGGUGAGUUCUAGAUGCAAUGCCAGGCACACCAGGCAAACGCUCUGUCCCUGUUCAUCGUCCCCCAAACACUCUUCUCCUUCGAAUCGCACAUGUGCUAAGUGAGCUCUCCCUCACUGAGCUAGAUCCUCGGUCAUGCCCCUUGAGUCUGUCGGCUGCGGCACAGCAGCCCUUCAUACACCUUAUCUACGUGAGCCUCCCAACCACUCGGGGCUUACUAUCUCCAUUCAUUCAAGAGAGGCUAACUGCUGGGAGACAGCGUGCUAAGGCUGAGCAAACUCGAGGACUUGAGUUUGAAUCCUCAGCACCAUGUGAGAGCCAGGCCGAUGAUGUGCAUGUUCCCCGGUGCCAAUGCCAAGGGGGUGGAGACAGGGUGAG
rnacentral:lncRNA from 1 species